rnacentral:piRNA from 1 species
UUCACCUGUGAUCGCGAUGUU